GCUAACUACACGCUGCUAGGAACUUUCUUCGCGUCGGCGCCUUGCUGCUGAGCCGCCGCUUCCGUGCGGUGGGUUUUGCCUGGCGCACCGGGAGGCGGGGCCUGUGAGACAAGAUGGAGUUGCUGCAGGUCUUGAAGCGCGGGGUGCAGCAGAUCACUGGCCACGGUGGCCUCCUUGGCUAUCUACGAGUUUUCUUCAGGACAAAUGAUGUGAGGGUUGGCACAUUAGUGGGAGAAGACAAAUAUGGCAACAAAUACUAUGAAGACAACAAGCAAUUUUUUGGCCGUCACCGAUGGGUCAUGUACACCACCAAAAUGAACGGCAAGAACACUUUCUGGGAUGUGGACGGGAGCAUGGUGCCGCCCGAGUGCUGCAUAAAAUUCCACCUGAGCAGAUCCCGUAACCUGUUGUGAGUGAUGCCGCCGUAAGCUAGGUCUGCAGCCAUCUCUUUAGAGCGGCUUCCCGUCCUUCAGGCACCGCUGGCUUCACAGUAUGACCGAUGACCCUCCAACAACCAAACCUCCUACUGAGCGGAAAUUCAUUUGGAAGAACCAUAAAUUCAAUGUGAGUGGCACUCCAGAGCAGUACGUGCCGUACUCCACCACUAGGAAGAAGAUUCAGGAGUGGGUGCCCCCCUCCACGCCGUACAAGUGAGGACAGGGGGAAGCAGAGGGACAUGUGGAAACCGUCUCCCAGGAACUUGAUUAAACUUUGUUUGACCAA